AAUUCCCUUUCUCUUCUCUGUUUCUCUCUCUCUUAAAAUAUAUAUAUAUAUAUAUAUAUAUAUAUAUAUUUUUUUUAAGAGAGAGAGAAACAGAGAAGAGAAAGGGAAUU
rnacentral:miRNA from 1 species